GAGUAGCUUGCUACUUUACCUAGCGGCGGACGGGUGAGUAAUGCUUAGGAAUCUGCCUAUUAGUGGGGGACAACAUCUCGAAAGGGAUGCUAAUACCGCAUACGUCCUACGGGAGAAAGCAGGGGACCUUCGGGCCUUGCGCUAAUAGAUGAGCCUAAGUCGGAUUAGCUAGUUGGUGGGGUAAAGGCCUACCAAGGCGACGAUCUGUAGCGGGUCUGAGAGGAUGAUCCGCCACACUGGGACUGAGACACGGCCCAGACUCCUACGGGAGGCAGCAGUGGGGAAUAUUGGACAAUGGGGGGAACCCUGAUCCAGCCAUGCCGCGUGUGUGAAGAAGGCCUUUUGGUUGUAAAGCACUUUAAGCGAGGAGGAGGCUACCGAGAUUAAUACUCUUGGAUAGUGGACGUUACUCGCAGAAUAAGCACCGGCUAACUCUGUGCCAGCAGCCGCGGUAAUACAGAGGGUGCAAGCGUUAAUCGGAUUUACUGGGCGUAAAGCGCGCGUAGGUGGCCAAUUAAGUCAAAUGUGAAAUCCCCGAGCUUAACUUGGGAAUUGCAUUCGAUACUGGUUGGCUAGAGUAUGGGAGAGGAUGGUAGAAUUCCAGGUGUAGCGGUGAAAUGCGUAGAGAUCUGGAGGAAUACCGAUGGCGAAGGCAGCCAUCUGGCCUAAUACUGACACUGAGGUGCGAAAGCAUGGGGAGCAAACAGGAUUAGAUACCCUGGUAGUCCAUGCCGUAAACGAUGUCUACUAGCCGUUGGGGCCUUUGAGACUUUAGUGGCGCAGCUAACGCGAUAAGUAGACCGCCUGGGGAGUACGGUCGCAAGACUAAAACUCAAAUGAAUUGACGGGGGCCCGCACAAGCGGUGGAGCAUGUGGUUUAAUUCGAUGCAACGCGAAGAACCUUACCUGGUCUUGACAUAGUAAGAACUUUCCAGAGAUGGAUUGGUGCCUUCGGGAACUUACAUACAGG
rnacentral:rRNA from 1 species